rnacentral:rRNA from 1 species
AGAACGAACGCUGGCGGCAUGCCUAAUACAUGCAAGUCGAACGAACUCUUCGGAGUUAGUGGCGCACGGGUGCGUAACGCGUGGGAAUCUGCCCCUUGGUUCGGAAUAACAGUUGGAAACGACUGCUAAUACCGGAUGAUGACGAAAGUCCAAAGAUUUAUCGCCAAAGGGAUGAGCCCGCGUAGGAUUAGCUAGUUGGUGAGGUAAAGGCUCACCAAGGCAACGAUCCUUAGCUGGUCUGAGAGGAUGAUCAGCCACACUGGGACUGAGACACGGCCCAGACUCCGUACGGGAGCAGCAGUA